GUUCAGUGAUUCAAUCUGACAAAGAAGCUGCAGACAGAACAAAGACAAAUGACUCCAACAAUGAUCAGACCUGUUUGUUUGCUGCUUUUUCUCUUUUUCUUUGGUGUCUUACCUGGUAUCAGGGGUCAAACACUGACUGAGUCUGAAUCAGUGGUUAAAAGACCUGGAGAAUCCCACAAACUGACUUGUACAUAUUCAGGGUUUAGCAGUGAUCCCUCUAUAGCUUGGAUCAGACAGGCUGCAGGAAAAGGACUGGAAUGGAUCGCUUAUAUCAGCAGUGGCAGCAGCAGCAUCUACUACUCAGAGUCAGUGAAAAACCGCUUCACCAUCUCCAGAGACAACAGCAGAAAGCAGGUGUAUCUGCAGAUGAACAGUCUGAGAGCUGAGGAUUCUGCUGUUUAUUACUGCGCUCGAGAGUCACAGUGACUCAAGAGACACAAACUCUGUACAAAAACCACAUGAAGAAAAUAGCUGCAAGUCCAAGUGAACAAACAAUCCAGCAAGAGAACCCCAUGUGCAGCAGCAGAGCAAACUGAUUUUACUCAAUUUAUUUAAACUUUCCUGAUUUGUUUGAAAUCUCCUUUGUUUGACUUACAGUUUGUUGAUCUCUGCAGAGCUUGUUCAUCAAGCUAUCGAUAAUCCUGCAGCUGUCCACUUCUAAUCUUUUCUUCUGCCAGAAAAGAUCAAA